rnacentral:rRNA from 1 species
AUGGCAGAAAUUAUAAAUGUCCCUCUUCAUGCAUCCAACCUUAUCAAAUCCACCGUAUUGAAAGCACAAAAUAUCCAUAAUACGGUAUUUGCGGAUCCCACAUUUUCCAUGUCCGCAAUGUCCGCUUUCUGCUCAUCGCUAAUUCGUCUGUGCGAACGAAGCAGACAAGAAAGAUCCCGUGGGGCUAGAGGAUGGCUGUGCUCAUCGAUGAAAUCCUUGACAAACCACCGACCGGUUUCCUCCUGUCUCGUAAUGACCAAUUUAGCAUUACACCCAACACGAGUUAAACUUCGUGGCCUCCUCUUUCUAUCUUCCAUCUUUCUUUUCAUGUGCUUAUCUUCGCGAAACCCUUGA